UAUUCUGCCCCAUGGGGAAGGAUGAGAAGCUUCGACUAAGGUUCGACUCGAGCGAAGCGAGAGAACGUUGCCGCAGGCAACGGCCCGAAGGGCGAGGCGCUUUAGCGCCUUGUAAUCCUUCCCCCACCACCA
rnacentral:sRNA from 1 species